CCGGUCACUGAUUGACAGCUUCAAGCAGCCAAUCGGUGGCAAGAAUCACGGGUAAGAAGGCAGCUUUUGCAGCAUGGUUGCAAUUUAUAUGUUAAACAUCCAGAGCCAGCUCCGAAAUGAUUUCACCUCCCGUGUUACUGAAAAAGGUGGACGGAGAGAGUAGAGAUAUACACACAAGAGUAAA